UUGCCACGUGGGCCUCUCCCUAGGGCGGCUCAUGACAUGGCACCUGAAUUCCAUCAGAGCAAGAGGGCAUGCAGGACAGAAGCCAACUCCCUUUGUAAUAAGCAAGACUCUCACCUUGACCUAAUUCUAACUAGGCUCCUGUAUGCCCUUAAGGCCCCAACCUUGGGCUUUGCCCUUGGCCCACUUAUUCCCAAUUUUAGCAAGAAUCCUAAUGAGUCCCUUUAACCAGCAUCCCCUACUCUUGGUAUAUGACCAGAUUCCUCAUCCCCAACCCUCUGUAUCCUUAUCACCCUGAACUACCUUCAGCAAGAGGCCUGCUGGGUCUGGUUAGCCAGAUCUCUCUUAUCCUUGUGUUUCCUUGGACAUUUUUUCAUUGCCUAACCCCCACUCUGCUCCUUGGCCGUACAGCCACACUUGUCCUUCUCAAAUUCAGAAUCAAGCCCUGUUCUAAAACAGAGGUCUCUCUUCCCUUAUUGAAGUAGUUCCUAAAUAAAAUUGGUCUUUGCUUCUCUAACUUUAUCCGGAUCUGACUUUUUUGACAGUAACCUCAUUGAGGAAGUAGCAUCCCAUCAUUUUUGCCAUAUUCUAUUAUUUAGAAGCUGGUCACUAGGUCCAGUCCACAAUCAUGGGGCUGGGACUGCACAAGGCCAUAAUGCCAGGAGGCAGGGAUCACAAGGACCCUCUUAGAGGCUGCAGAACAGGUCCUAUCAGUGGUGGUCAAAGGACUCCUCUCAGAGGCUGUCUCACAGUCUCCGAACUAUUGUUGUACCUCCAGCGGUGCCUUUCCACCGGGCCCCAGUUGGGUUGAUGAUCUAGGCUUUGAUUUCAGCGACAUACCCAGGGUUCUCCUGGGACCUUUAGCUUCUGCCACCCAGGAUGCUCUCCUCUGUGGACCAGAGCUCCCAGCUCCCACUCAUCUGGGAAGGGGAUCAAAGGGAAGCCAAACUCAGUGCAGCAACCCCCAGAGUCAUAUUUGGAUUCCCUGAGCUUUGAAGACAAUUACUUCGCAAUCAAUCUAGACUUGCUUGAUAACUAAACCUCUUUGUCCCCCAAAUGGAAAUCAAGAACAGGCUGCAGAAGAUGCUCCUUCACUGCAUGGUGGUUCUAUCAUCCAGAAUUUACAUCCACCAUCACCUAGGAGAGCUUGCAGUCUGACAUCCUGAGGCCUAUGAUCUUGGUAAAAUUCCUAAAUGAAUCUUUAGUGCCUUGAGAACCUGGAGUGACCUGUUGUUUCCACAACAUGUAAGCAAUCCUCUCUGGUGACGUUGGACAUUUUGGGCUUUUGCUAAAUUGUGGCAAAGAAAUAUGAAAGAGCUUUGAGGAUGCCUCCUAAACCUGGAGUGAGCACAAUUGCACUUUUGUUUACCUUAAUGUAAUAGGAUCAUUAUCUGGGUUCCCCAUUCGGAUGAAGCUUUGAAAGCAUAUUAACCUGUUGACUUUGUUAAUAGUAAUUUAGGAAAAUCUCUCGGGCUCCAAACGCAGCUUUUUAAAGCCAAGGGUAAAGUGGUCUUUCCCUGUUUUCUAUGUUGACUUUCAUUAAAGAUUUGCGUAAAUAUAACUGAACGAUGAUUCUGUGGCUUUUUGGUGCCAGCUAAUUAUGUAAACAGGCUUUUGCAGGCAGUGGGUGAUUUUGAUCUGCAGAGUCUGUAGAACAUGAAGGCUUCGGGUGUUGGUUGACCUUGACUGAACAAAGGGGGGACUUACCUUUAUAUCUCACAGUCUGUUAAGAGAGACUGCAGUGCUCAGUGUGAGGGCGUCAGUGGCUUUCCAUCCCCAGUGGGAUGGAGGGUCUCCUUCCCCAGAACCACCGUAACUGCUCAAAAGAGGUUUGUGCCUCUUCUCCUUGAUCAGUGCCUGCCUCCAUUUACCCAAUUAAAACAGCUGAGGCCAUGACCCGCCUGCUGCUUUCCUGGUUUCCCUCAGCCGACCCACUCUCUUUGCCUUUGGAAGGCAUGAUGGAUUGGUUUGAAACAAAACCAUCUCGUUCCCAAACUGAAAGGUUCCUUUUUACAACUGGGAACAACUUGAAACCACUGGAGAAAAUCAUGUGCCAAUUAUGUAUAAACUCCUUUACCACAAGGUAUAAAGGAAGCCAUAAUUCGGGGGGCUUAUGUUUGAUUGAAUUCAUCUGUUUCCAUUUUGUAAAUAGGAGAGAGAAUCUGUAGUGGGGGACAGUUGACAUAAUGCAGCGUCUAUUCCCGGACGAAAGAAGGGGUGGCCCCUUUGCUUCAUUCCCUCAGAGCCAGGCUUCCUAGGUGUAAAGAAUCACAAGAAACUUCUACGCUGGAAGGGAAGUCAGCCUUGCUCGAGGCAGCACCAGACUCUCCCAAAACCUUAGACGCAGAAGAGAAGGGACCGUGUUUUGUCAAUCACCCAGCCAAGAACAACAACCUUCAACUGGGAAAUACCCCCGGCCCCUGUCCGGGAUGAGAUUUACACUGAUGGGUCUGUGUUUGCCAGCAGCUGACAAGUCAGACUUCACCCUUAACAUCCCUAAUGUGUUGGUACUAAUUAGGUGAAAGAUGCAUUGUNNNNNNNNNNNNNNNNNNNNNNNUUCCUGCUUGGCAGCUUGACAUCAUGGGACACUGAAACCUUAAAUUGCCUUGCAGAAGCAUGCCUGGGGAUAACUGCAUUGUGUGGGUAGGGAGGACCCAGAAAGGGAAAGAAUAAAGAUCCCUUCACCAUCACUGCCCUCUGCCAUCAGUGAAAGACUGGCUUGUUAAUGGGUCUAGUAGAUUAAUUGAUGUCUUUCUCCAAAUGUGUGCGGCUGGUACCCCCUGAUGCUUGGGUGCACUGGCUUGGAAAUCAGACAAACCUGGGUGUAAUCCCAGAUUUUCCGCUUGACUAAUGACAUGACUUUUGGCCCCUCCCUGGGCCUCAAUCUCCUUUUCUGUAAAAUGGGAGAUUUCAUUGGGCUGUUAGGGUUUUUGUGUUUUAGGGCCACAGUCGUGGCAUAUGGAGGUUCCCAGGACAGGGGUCAAAUCACAACUGUAACCGCUGACCUAUACCACAACCACAACAAUGCAGGAUCCGAGCCGGAUAUGUAACCUAUACCACAGCUCACGGCAAUGCCGGAUCCUUAACCCACUGUGCAAGACCAGGGAUUGAACCUGUGUCCCCAUGAAUGCUAGUCAGAUCAUUUCCACUGAGCUACGAUGGGAACUCCAGGGCUGUUAUGAUUCAAUAAUAUUUGAGAAUCACAUAACGUCAUAAGAGUGAAUAGCUGGCUCUUCCUAUUCCAUUCUGGGCCUCUCAUUUCCUGAGAAGGCUGGCUCCUGUAUCCUCUAUUUUAAACUCCCCAUAAUGGACCAAGAGGAUUCCUUGCCAUAUAGGGAAGAAUGGCUACAUUCAGAGGCUGCAAGUAAGCCCUUUCUAGAUCUUUUUGUAUUCUCCCAAGGCCACUUUGGACCAUAUGCCUCUAUUUUGGCAACUGUAAUAAGUGGCCCAAUGGAUCACUUCUCACCCUAAAUUGUUUUCUCCUGUUAACUUUUAAAGUAUAAAAAUAGUUUUCCUCAAAUGAAAAUGCAUGGCUAUGGGAUUAUCACUGUUGUUUUUUUAGGUCAACUCUUGUCAUCCAGGGGUCGGGGUUUCAGGCUUACUCUUCAUGCAUUAUAUGGACCGUAGUUCUUCCUUUUCUGUCUCAUCUCUAUAUGUUCUUCAUUCAAUUCUGCAAAUAUUUCAUGACAGCUUAGUGACUUACAUGGAUAUUUGAUCUUCUUGACUGCUUUCUUUUUAUUCCUGUUGCACUGAGAAGGGGAGGAGGUACAGCGUCAUUAAGCCCCUUGUCCGAGAUUAUCCAACAAGUAAGUGGUGGGGGUGGGCUUCGAACCCAGGCAGACUGACCUCAGAACCUGAGCAUUAAGGGACUGUGCCUUCACCCACCAGGUGUUCCUUCACCCUAUUAGAAGAGGUUGCAUGAAUGAGGGCUCAACUCAUGAAGCACAAAUCAGAUGAAUCCAAAGACUCACUUAUGAACAGUGGGGGCAGAACAGGAAAUAGAAAGCAGGGUUCAGACACAACUGGGGAAAUAGAGCCAAAGUUUAGUGCUCCAGGCUGGCUCCCUCCUUGUUCUCAUAGUCAGUGCUCUACUCAGAAGGAAUCAGCCCCCAAUUUCUCUAAGAUAAAUUUUACUUUAUUUAAACGGGGUGGGGUGGAGGGAACACAGCAUAGCUUCCCAGGGCAAGUCACUCUUGACAUCCUAGAAUAAAUUAGGUUACACUGCCUGGCUCUAGGCAGUGAAACUUGUAUUCAGUCGUUAUCUAGGUUUGUUCUUAAGUGGCUGCUCCUCCUGCUUCUCUGGAGUGUUAGAAUUGUGUUUUUGUUCAUGAUUUAUGCCGCAACCACACAUCUGACAUAUUUUUCCUGUUAUUUGUUUUGGGCACCAGAAUCUCUCAGGCUGCCCCUAGGCCUGAGACAUAAUGGCUCUGUUUUGCUUUUAGGAUUUCCACCCCCGUCCCCCUCACUAUCUUGGGCUUCAGACCUACGUGGGCUUGCUUGGUGGUUUGAGUGCAAGUUUUCCCACGAGGCGAUGGCUUGGACAUUCUGGGCAGCCCUUUUGCCUCCACCCACUUUGUGAGCAGAGGUAGCCCUGGCUUGUAGGACAGACACACACUUUUAGGAGGGUCAAUGCGAUCGGUGUGUCCAGGGUAACUUGUCUUUGUGGGAUAGGGAAUGAAGGGGUCUCGGAGGCAGAGCAGCUCAGUGAUUUGUUCCAUCCCAGACCAGGAUGGUCUUAUCAGGGGUUGACUCUGUGCUGCUGAGGCAGAGACCGCGGAGCUCUGACAAUGUUUGCUUUUGAAAGGUUGGAGGCAGCAGUCUGGCUCCCUUCAAGGUGACUGACCUCAUCUUACCCUGAUGUAAGCAAUUUUAAUUCAUUGAGAUUCCGCCUAAUGAUUCUGGUGAUUUACAUUGUUGUCAUUCUUGAGUGUGAUUAUGUUUUCAAAGAAAGGGAUCAGCCUGUGGAGACAUUUUCCUCUAAAUGCUUCCUUUGAAGGACUCUGCUCACGACGGAAGGGAGAGAAACAAAACAAAAGCGGGGCUUCGGUAAGACAGCCAGAGUCUCUCCUGAGAACUCGGGGAAGAAUAGCAUCAGUUGUACUCCCGUGGUCUGUAGAUAUCUGUCCCUUCCAUAUCACUUGCACCGGAUCUUCAGAGCAAUGCUUGGGUCUGUGGGAAUUUCUAGGGUUCCCUGUGCUCGGGUUUGGCUUGAAGCAGUACCAAAGCAGGGGCCCCUUGAGUCCUUAAAAGAGGGUUCCUACCACCCCAGAGACAGUGCAGGCAUUCUGCAAAGCCUAAAUGAUCCAGAAGGAUACUGUAAAGGGGAAUUUGAUGUGUCUUGGGGUUAUUUAAAGACUAGGAGGAAAUUAGAGCAAGGAAUAAAAAACUGGAGAGCAGUCUUCAGAACACUGGCAGCUCCAGAACGAGGGGAAGGUCUGGUCUGGCCAGGUGGUUAAAAAGUAUCAUGAGUGGAUGUUAAAGUGCCUGUGUCCUUCCUCCAACACUGAUUGUAUGUCUCAUACACGAGGCACGACUAGGGCUUGUGUUAAAAGCCUCAUUAUCUGUCACUUAAAUGAUUGUAAGAGCCCCCCAAACUGGUCUCCUUGCUUCCACCCAACCCCUAAUCUGUUAUCCACAGAACAGCCAGAGGGAUCCCAGGAAAAUGUCUGUUCAGAUCAUGUUAACCUCCAGAGACUUUCCACAUCCCUGAGUAAGUCUGCACAACUAGGAUACACGCGCUCUCCCCCCACCUCCACACCCCAUCCCAUUCUAGCACCUUUAAAUCCUCAUUUAGCCACUGAGGCCCUGCUCAGAUACCACCUCCUCCUGGAGAGGCCCUUAGUCCUUUGCCUUGGGUCUCAGUUUUAGCAUUUGCUAUACUGACACCUAAUUUUCCUUUUGUCUGUUCCAUCCCACGUGGGUCUCUGAGGUUCCUUACAGGAGGAACUGGCUUUUACUUAUCUCAGAAUCAUCCCAAGACUGAGUGCUCAGUGAGUUAUUGUUGAAUGAAUGAACAAACAAAUGAAUGUGUGAGUGACUGAUGCCCCUUCUCCACAGGGGUGUGUAUGGUUGUGCUGCGUGGAGGCCAGCAGACCAAUUCCGCACUGAGGCCCUAUUAAUGGUUCACGCCUUAUGUGCCACGAUGCUCCAUAGCUGCAUCCAGGAGCAAAAGCCCUUCAUUUUCCUGCCCCACGAGACACCUAGGUCUGGCCACAAUUCCAUUCUCAGCUCCUGGAGAAAUGAAGCGUGGCCAGAAGAUUCUUCCCUGCUUCCUCAGUCCUGAGCUGACUCCAGGAGAAGGGGGCAGGAUGGAGAAACACCUGUGCAGCUGGGCCUGUGCCCUGCCCGCCCCCCCAUAAGGAACAGCUCCCCCCUCCCCCUCCUGUUGAGCGGGCUCUAUAGCUUGGGCCCCAUGCUGUGCAGGUCCGCUGCUCUGAAUGUUCUUUGUGGCACUCCACUGUGGGCACACAGGGAAUGAAAAGCCGUCACGGGUGACACAUGUGUCUGUGGUGCCUUUUCCAGGAGAUAAAAGUCAUGACAGAGCCAGCUUUAGGGACAGGCUGCUGGACCCUGUGCAGGGGAAAAAACCCUGCAGAAAGCUCUGAAGCCCCCCACCUCUCCACCCCUCACCCACAUGCCUAGUGACACCUACCAUGGGCCAGGCCUUCCUCGGGGGCAGGCACACAGUGGGCUCCUGGUACUAAAAUGGUUUGGAAAAAUUACAGAGGGGAAAGCCAUUUGCUCAUGGCGCACUGCC
ensembl:lncRNA